GACGAACGCUGGCGGUGUGCUUAACACAUGCAAGUCGAACGGUAAGGCCCUUUCGGGGGUACACGAGUGGCGAACGGGUGAGUAACACGUGAGUAACCUGCCCUCAUCUCUGGGAUAACAGUCGGAAACGGUUGCUAAUACUGGAUAUGAGCUUGCAAGGCAUCUUGUGGGUUGGGAAGAUUUUUUUGGUUGGGGAUGGACUCGCGGCCUAUCAGCUUGUUGGUGAGGUAGUGGCUCACCAAGGCUUCGACGGGUAGCCGGCCUGAGAGGGCGACCGGCCACAUUGGGACUGAGAUACGGCCCAAACGCCUACGGGAGGCAGCAGUGGGGAAUAUUGCACAAUGGACGGAAGUCUGAUGCAGCAACGCCGCGUGCGGGAUGACGGCCUUCGGGUUGUAAACCGCUUUCAAUUGUGACGAAGCUUUUUGUGACGGUAGCAGUAGAAGAAGCACCGGCUAACUACGUG
rnacentral:rRNA from 1 species